AUCAUUAAAAUCAAGUUAAUCAACAGUGAUGGGCCAUAAAAAAACCGACGCUACUGGAUAUUGAGCUUCGGAGAAACUUGGGUCGAUUGGACCUGGAGGACUUGGUCCUGACUCGUCCUCCAGGUCCGAAUUUCAGAUAGUUGUCUUUUCGAUUCUUUUUCGAAAUGCAACAUUUUCGCCGACAACUCUUACUUCAGUUGGGUUACCCGGAAAAGCUAGGAAAACGAAAGAUAUGAUCUUUCUUAUAGGAGGUAGAUUUAAUUGUGCCGGGAAGGUUGAUGAAAGCUCUGAUGAGGGGUGAUUCGAGGCCUUCAGAUGGUGAUAGGCAAUAUAUCAUUGCAUUGGCAGCUUUUUGCUCAUACGCCAGAAAUCACAUUGUCAGUGAUGGUUUAUAAUAUGGCACAUGACUUCUUCGUUCGAUACAUUAAGAAAUUUUCCGACGGUCUUCAACACAAUAGUGAGGAUUGCAAUUUGGUUGUCUUCUACCAUAUCAGCUUGAAUAAACAUGUGCUUUUCAUGACAGGCAACGGUACCCAAAUAAGACAUGUUUUGGAAAAACGCAAGAUGAUAGUGGGAUUACUAGAAGGUAUUCUGACGAUGUUGAAGGGUGAAGUUGCAAUGGUAUAUCAUUAUCCUAGUUUCUGAAACUGUAUGUAAAAAAAGAAUAGGCGAAAGAUAUGGUAAAGAAUGGAAUAGAAUGAACUUAAUGUAAACCAAUUAUAAUAUUUGGCAUCUGUUUGUAAAAAUCCCAUUUACUUUUAUUUUUACUUGUUGCAUCUGAAAAUAUUCAUUCUACUUCCUGGAUAAGGACCUUCUAGAGUGGGCAAAUUAAGUUCAUCGAUGGUUUAUUUAUAGUGUAAUAUUUACUGUAUAUUUGUUACCUAUUAUCCUGUAAAUCAACCCUGUACCAAUGUGGAUCGCGCAAAUUUCACUUGAGUUAUGCUGAAACCUUUCUUCUAUAAUAAAAUUUAACAGACUGAGAAUCCCAUUUUGUAUGCUAGGUGCAUGAGGGGUUUGAAAUUUGUGUUCGUUUGAUGAUGCUGGGCGAGUUUGCUCUUCUCACAUGUCCACCUGAUUAUGCAUAUAAAAACUUCCCUAGGUUACUUUAAAAAUCUAGCUUUCCCCCUCUGUUUGUAUCCAGUUUUGCCAGAACAACAUAUAUAGAGUAAUUUGGCUAUUAUUCUAAUUAUCAUUAUCAUUAAUCUAUCAUGUCUAUCUUCUUCUUUCUUCCUCUUCGAAAUAUGUGCAGAACUCAGAACUUUCCCUGAUGUGAUCAGGCAGCUAAUGUUCCUGAAGGUCAUGUUGAAUGGGAGGUAGAUUGGAUAUAUUCGUUUUGAGAUGCCACAGGUAAUCUAUGAAUGUAGUUCUUUAAGCCUCAGUUUGAUGCUAGACUUUGUGAUAAACAUAGCAUAUUUUCCAAGAUGGCUGCAGAAGUGCUGUUGUUGACCAUUAGACUUGUGGUUACUUGGACAUUAGAACUCCCUCAUUGUUGAGAAUGGUCCAUCAUCAACAGCUGAAGUAUAUACUAUUGGUUCCUAAAAUUUUGGUUCAAGUUUGAUUUUCGUCCAAGAAAUUUAUAAAGUUCCAAUUUUGUCUCUGGAAAAUAUAAAGGUGAUAAAGAUGAUAAGUUUUUCAUCUCUCUUUCAACUCCCUAAGCAUAUGAUUGCUCUGUUCUCUCUGGAUCGUGCAGGCCUUCCUACUAUUAGGCACAAAUUUUCUAGGCUUUUCUUAAUCUUGUAAACUUUAUAUAAACUAUAAAGUCUAUAUAUUUUUUAGGAACUUGCUUUCGGAAUUAUACUUUCUCCUUGUAAGCCCCCAAGUUUCAUUAUACAUGGUAUUCCUCUGCCACAAGUUUUAUAUGCAAGCCCUGAACAUGUGAAGGCUCUGUACAGCGGUGGAAUGGCCUACAUGGCAUCUGGAGAUCUUGAGGAAGCAAGGGCUGAUUUCAAAAUGGUUAUUGCUAAUAUUUAGUUUUCUUUCUAAAUAACGAAACUCGACAUGGGCCAUGGCAUCUAAAGCGGAUGCAACAGCUGCUCUUCUAAAGCCACAGCAGAAGGAGCAGGAAGUUGAGAGGAAGGCUCGGAAACAAUUUAAAGGACUAAUUUACAAGAAACAAGGGGAAAUUGCUGAUGCUGGAGAUAGAGAAGAUCAUAAUAAUGUAGGUGAAAAGCCUGACAACAUUGCUAAGGAGGAUUUGAAUGCGAAUAAUUCAGAAGAAUCACGAGAAGCUGCAGCUGAUGCCUGUCAAUUGGGUUUGUUUUCCUGCUUUCGGCCUAUCGGUAGACGUCUAUUUUCAGGUCUUGGGCUGCAGAGAUGCACCAUAUUAUUAAGCUAUGUACUGAUAGUGACAAAACUGCUACACGGCAGAGCACCACGCAGAGCACCAAUACACACUGUACAAAAUUAGUAUAUUCUAGAAUAGGAACAGCAGAGUAUAUAGUGGUAGUUAUUCUCUACUGCGAUUUGUAACAAACAAAUAUUCCCUUGAUUCUUUGUAAAGUUUAUAAAUAGACACUAUUUCUAUAAUAAAACGUAGAGAGAAGUUUUAUUUCUCUACGUUUUAUUUCAA